GCAUCCUAAUUUACAUUGAAAAUAUAUGGCCAGUGAAGAAACAGCCUGGAGAGAUCUACACUCACAUGGAUCUUGGGUCUUGCUCUGUCGUCCAGACCGAGUGCAGUGGCACAAUAAUGGCUCACUGCAGUCUCGACCUUCGGGCUCAAGCGGUCCAUCCUCCCACCUCACUUCCUGAGUCGCUACGAUUAAAAGUGCAUGCCACCACACCCAGCUAAGUUUUGUAUUUUUUCGUAGUGAUGGGGGUCUCACUAAGUUGCCCAGACUGAUCUCAAAUGCCUGGGCUCAAGCAGUCCUCUCUCAGUGCAGCCUCUGAAAGUGCGG
rnacentral:lncRNA from 1 species